GCCUUCUCUUCUUCAGGCUAAACAUGCCCAGCUCUUUAAGCCGCUCCUCAUAGGGCUUGUUCUCCAGACCCUUGAUCCUUUUAGACGCCCUUCUCCGGACACAUUCCAGCUUGUCAACAUCUCCCUUUAAUUGUGGCUAUGGUUUUUAAAAAGGAAAUUAAAAAAGAAAAAACUUGGUCCCAUUGCCUCUGCAGCAAAAUAUAUUCUCUGCAUUGCAGUAACAGCCCUUGGAUUCCCCUUUGGAGCUGGGCUGUGUGGUUCCUUGCGCCCUCUAGCGCCCUUGCCUUGAACGACACUCUCGAGAUCUGAAAGCUCGACUGCCGUUGACCUUGGGAGAGGGAGUUCCGAGGGAGUUAAAAGGCUCCCUGGAAGAUCAGGCCAAGCCCCGCCCCGGACUACAAAUCCCAGGCUCCUCCAGGAGAGAGAGAAAAAGGGGGCCCUGGGCAUUUAAAGCGGUAUGGAAGGGGUCUAGCGGUAUGGUGCGGAUCCUUCUCUUCUCUGGGAAGUCCUUGGCAAAGAAGGAAGGAGGCAAAGAAGAAAGGAAAGCAGGAAUGGAGCAGUAAGGCGGGCCAAGGCGGGCCUUUUGGGGGGUGCAAGGGGUCAGUUCCUUUUAGGAUGUGAUCUUAGCAAAGCCCAGGAAGUCAGUCCCUUUUGGGGUGCAGUUUUUGGAAAGUGAGCCCCUUUUGGGGUGCAAUUAUUGCAAACUCCUGGAAGUCAGUCCCUUUUUGGGGUGCAAUCUUGCCCCUUUUGAGGUGCAAUUAUUGCAAACCCCCAGGAAAUCAGUCUUUAGGGGUACAAUCUUGGAAGUCAAUGCCUUUUGGGGUGCAGUUUUUGGAAACCUCCUGGAAGUCAGUCCCUUUUGGGGUGCAAUCUUGCCCCUUUUGAGGUGCAAUUAUUGCAAACCCCCAGGAAAUCAGCCCCUUUUGGGGUGCAAUCUGGGAAGUCAAUGCCUUUUGGGGUGCAAUUAUUGUAGAC